UACUGCUGCUUAAAGUUUAAGUUGCUGAUAACUUUUUAAAUAGACAAUUUGGUCGUAAGUACCACAUUUAAAAAAUGUGUAUACUCUUUACCCAUCAAUUCCAUUAUACUAAAAUACCCUUAGGAACCAAUGAGAUAUACAUAGCAAU